GCUCUAACAUAGCGUGCUAAUGACGGUACCAGCAGAAGAAGCACCGGCUAACUACGUGCCAGCAGCCGCGGUAAUACGUAGGGUGCGAGCGUUAAUCGGAAUUACUGGGCGUAAAGCGUGCGCAGGCGGAUUGUUAAGCAAGAUGUGAAAUCCCCGGGCUUAACCUGGGAAUGGCAUUUUGAACUGGCAGUCUAGAGUGUGUCAGAGGGGGGUAGAAUUCCACGUGUAGCAGUGAAAUGCGUAGAGAUGUGGAGGAAUACCGAUGGCGAAGGCAGCCCCCUGGGAUAACACUGACGCUCAUGUACGAAAGCGUGGGUAGCAAACAGGAUUAGAUACCCUGGUAGUCCACGCUGUAAACUAUGAUUACUCGAUGUUUGCGAUACACUGUAAGCGUCUAAGCGAAAGCGAUAAGUAAUCCACCUGGGGAGUACGCUCGCAAGAGUGAAACUUAAAGGAAUUGACGG
rnacentral:rRNA from 1 species